AAUGCUCAUCCUUGCUUAAACUAAAUGUUUUCAGUUACGUACGAUCGACCUGAAGGCUCAGGCACGAACAAGGGAAAAGAAAAGCUAUUCGAAUGAGAUUUAGUAUGAGUUAAUGGUUAUAGUUAGUAAGACAAUGGAAUCUAUUGUUAGAUAUUGUAAGGAAUGUAUUUGAAGGUCACGUACCUGGGGAAGUAAACUUUGAUGUAUGUAAAUUAAGUUCGAAUGUAUUAUUAUUUAGUAUUAUUCAGCUUAAAGAAAUGGUAUCGUG
rnacentral:lncRNA from 1 species